rnacentral:rRNA from 1 species
GACGAACGCUGGCGGCGUGCUUAACACAUGCAAGUCGAACGGUAAGGCCCUUCGGGGUACACGAGUGGCGAACGGGUGAGUAACACGUGGGUGAUCUGCCCUGCACUUCGGGAUAAGCCUGGGAAACUGGGUCUAAUACCGGAUAGGACUCCGGACUGCAUGGUCUGGGGUGGAAAGCUUUUGCGGUGUGGGAUGGGCCCGCGGCCUAUCAGCUUGUUGGUGGGGUGAUGGCCUACCAAGGCGACGACGGGUAGCCGGCCGGAGAGGGUGACCGGCCACACUGGGACUGCGAUACGGCCCAGACUCCUACGGGAGGCAGCAGUGGGGAAUAUUGCACAAUGGGCGCAAGCCUGAUGCAGCGACGCCGCGUGAGGGAUGACGGCCUUCGGGUUGUAAACCUCCUUCAGCACAGACGAAGCGCAAGUGACGGUAUGUGCAGAAGAAGGACCGGCCAACUACGUGCCAGCCGCCGCAGUAA